UAAACAAUUAAUGUAGGGCAA
rnacentral:piRNA from 1 species